rnacentral:lncRNA from 1 species
CACUGGCUUGCUGUCAAUAAAUACAUGGGUAAAUCUCUGUUCCAGGCCCUCAGCUCUGAAGGCUGUGAGACCCCUGAUUUCCCACUCCACACUAUAUUUCUGUGUGUGUGUCUUUAAUUCCUCUAGUGCCACUGGGUUAGGGUCUCCACGACUGAGCUGUUUUCAGCACCCCGUGAAGAUAUGAUGUGUCCAUAGGCCGUUAGAGGAAUAUGUAUCCCGAGAAUUCAUGCUACAGCAUACUUUCUCCUCACUUGGGAAAAUGCCUUCAGGAUAGAAACCUUGUUUGAUAUAUUUGUAUGUUCCGAAAUUGUCCCCCGCCUCACCAGCACAGGCUGUUCAACAUAAACGGGCUGGGUUGAAUUGAAUCGGGCAGAGUUGACAGAACACAGGACCAGGAAGCAGGUCACCCAAGCUGCUGGCCCUGCCAUGGCUCCUGGUGGACGUGAGGGAGGAACAAUAUCACAGGGCUGUGUACACCCCCUGCGAUAUUGGGAGUAAUAUCAUCCUGUCGACCUGAGGAGAGAAGCCAUUUCUCUGCUGUCUCCUGUCUCUGAAGAGAAGGAGGAAGUAAAAGUUGAAAAACAACAGGAAUGAAGUCGGUGGCAAGACCAGCCGGUGGCACUGAUGAGCCGGCCUGAGGUGAAAAGAUUAACCACCCCCACUCUAAGCGCAUGUGCUCUCAAUCCAUCACGAUUCUUUCACGUGGAACCCCUUAGAGUUGUAAGCCCUUAAACGGGCCAGGAACUCUGUCUUCCUUUGGGGGUUGGGCUCUUAAGACAAGAGUCUGCCGACACUCCCGGCUGAAUAAAAAAAUCUCUUCCUUCUUCAAUCCACUGUCUGAGGGGCUUAAAAUCUCUUCCUUCUUCAAUCCACUGUCUGAGGGGCUUAUUCUGCAGCUCCUCCUGC